GCCUUCGUGGUGUAGUGGUUAGGACGCUCGACGCGUAUUCGAGAGUUCCGUGGUUCGAUUCCCGGCGAAGGUG
rnacentral:tRNA from 1 species